ensembl:lncRNA
AGCCAGAGCUGCAGUCUGCCCAACAGGAAGUUGAAUUUCUCAGGCAGGAAGUGGAAAAGCUCACUGGUGAGACAUGGGAUCAUAUUUGUCUUACAUCACAUUCAAUUAACCUACAUCGCAUACAGCCCAAAUAGGGUCUCAUAUCUUUUUUAUCUCAUUAAAUAAUCAUUAAGGUGGAAUAUUUCCCAUGAUCCCCCAUGACAAAUCUCCAAAUUCCUGCAGAUAUGCCUGAGCUCCGCAAGGCCAAAGAGCUAAAUGAGUGCCAGGACAAGGAGAUCAAGAUGCUGAGAGACACGGUGCGCAGCAUGGACAACGAGCGUAUGGCUCUCCUUGCCAUGCUUGAUAGUAAAAUGAUGGAGGUCAGUGACAAUGAGGAUGAAGAGUACCCUCUGAUAUCACUGCCCAAAGUGGAAAAGGCUGAGAUUGCCAUCCAGACUGUAGCUGAUGAUGUGGAGAGUUCUCAUGUGAGGUACUGUACCAGACAAUCAACUGCAUCUCAGUACAGCUUGCACAUUUGUGUAUUAUGCAGCAUGCAAUGUAUACAAGUGAUUUAUUAAAGUGUGUAACAGAGUGACUGUAGAUGUAUGGAAAAAUGGAAGAGUGUGCUCCUUGGAAGGAAAAAUAUCUUACAGUAAUCUCUUUACUGAAAAGGAAAGCUCAAGGGCAGUUUUAGAUUUGGUUAAAAUAAAAUAUAAAAGAGUUAUUAUACAUAUUUUUCACUAGAGAAACUCCUGAAAAUGAACUAAAAUUUAUAAAAACAAUUUGUACCUAAGAUUUAUUGACAACAUGCUUCACAAACACAUUUAAUCUGAAAGUGAAAUGUAUGAUGUUUUUGCCUGAUGUUUUUUUCCCAGGUGCCUUGAGGACCUGAACGAGAAGGAUCUUGAGCUGCGUAAGCUGCAGGCAUGUAUCCAGCAGUUGCAGCAGGAGUGCGAUCAGAUGCAGAUGCAGAAAGACCAGGCACAGCAGCUUCUAGAAGAGCAGGAGCAAAACCACACGACCACCGUGGAGGCUUUCAAGGAGGAGCUGGAGUUUCUGGAGACAAUGGUGAAACAGGCUGACUGUCAGCAGCAGGAAAGCCAGAACACUGUUAAGGAUGAUUGCAUGGCCAUUGCCAAGACCCAGGAGUGUCUGCUCCAGCAGAAAACUGAGGAGUGUACACAGAUAAGUGAGAUCCUGAAGCACACUGAUGGAGAGGUGCUCUUAGGGAGAGAGAAGAUCAUUGAGCUGGAGAAACUCAACGCUGAGUGGGACCACAAGAACAAACAGGUGCUUGCUAAGAUGCAGGAGGCCUUGGCCAGAGUGUCCAAGCUUGAAAAAAAACAUGAAGCUAAGACCACCGAGUACCAGCAGGCUUUGGCCAGAGAGUCCGAACUCAAGAAGAACCAGGAGUCUUGGGCCGCUGAGUUGAAGGAGGCCUUUGCAAGAGUAUCUGAGCUGAAACGUGACUGUGAGGCUCAGGGCGUCGAGUACCAGCAGGCUUUGACCAGAGAGUCCGAACUCAAGAAGAACCAGGAGUCUUGGGCCGCUGAGUUGAAGGAGGCCUUAGCAAGAGUAUCUGAGCUGAAACAGGACUGUGAGGCUCAGGGCGUCGAUUACCAGCAGGCUUUGGCCAGAGAGUCCGAACUCAAGAAGAACCAGGAGUCUUGGGCCGCUGAGUUGAAGAAGGCCUUAGCAAGAGUAUCUGAGCUGGAACGGGACCGUGAGGCCCUUGCCAAGGCCCAGGAGUGUCUGCUCCAGCAGAAAACAGAGGAGUGUGCACAGAUAAGUGAGAUCCUGGAGCACGCUGAAGGAGAGGUGCUCUUAGGGAGAGAGAAGACCAUUGAGCUGGAGAAACUCAACCCUGAGUGGGACCACACGAACACACAGGUGCUUGCUAAGAUGCAGGAGGCCUUGGCCAGAGUGUCCAAGCUUGAACAGAGCCAUGAAGCUCAGACCACCGAAUACCAGCAGGCUUUGGCCAGAGAGUCCGAACUCAAGAAGAACCAGGAGUCUUGGGCCGCUGAGUUGAAGGAGGCCUUAGCAAGAGUAUCUGAGCUGGAACGGGAUUGUGAGGCUCAGGGCGUCGAGUACCAGCAGGCUUUGGCCAGAGAGUCCGAACUCAAGAAGAACCAGGAGUCUUGGGCCGCUGAGUUGAAGGAGGCCUUAAUAAGAGUAGCUGAGCUGGAACAGAGCCGCGAGCUUCAGAGGCUUCUGGAGAAGAGCAGGGAGCUUCAGGACCAUCUGGAGAAGGAGCAGAACCUGCCCCGCCAGACCGAGCAGAUGCAGGAACUUCAGAAGCAGCUACAACAGACUCUCUGUGAAGAUUUCAAGAAGCAGGGCAAGGUCAUGGUAUCUGAUGUUGUCUCCAAUCUACAGGCCGAGAUGGAGAAGUACUUUCAGCAGAGGAAGAUGUUGCUCCAGAGGGAAGAAAUGCUUCUACAAGAAGUGGGGAGCCUGCGUAAUCAGACCGAGCAGAAAGACAGGCAGCCAGCCCAAGCGGAAGUUUGUGCCAAACUGCAGGAAGCCCAGGAAAGGGAGACCCAGCUUGGGUUGAUGCUGCAGUGUGUGAGAGAGUCACUCAGUGCCACUCAGAGAGAGGUGCUGGACCUCCAGAAGGAGCUGAGAAACACGACGCUUCAGCUUGACCUGGAGAGGGCUGAGACCGAGCGGCUGAAGAAAGAUGCCAAGUACAUGGCUGAUGAUCUGGCAAGGCUGAGGGCCCAAGCAGAGGAGGCUGAGAAGCAGAGACGGUUGUGGCUGUGCCGCGAGGAUGUAAUGCAGCAGCAGGUGAAAACCCUUCAGGACAAACAAGCCUCCCUGUCGCAAUCUGAACAAAAGCUCCAGGACCAAACGCUGGACCUGAAGGCCCAACUGGCAGCCCUGCAGAAGGCAGAGCAAGCAGUCAAGCAGGACCUGCAGACUAGUAGCCUAGACAUGAAGAACCAGUUGCUCACCAGUCAAAAUGCUGUGCUGGCCCUGCAGGAGGAACUGAAAAACACCCUACAUGCUCUGGAUAACCAGAAGAGCAAGUACACCGAGAGAACAUGCAACUACAAGGACAGGCUUAGUCGUGCCAAACAAUUCCACAUAAAAGAGGUGGUUUUACGUGAUGACCAGAUCAAAGACCUUCAGAGGCAAUGUGAUUUCCUUAACAAAAAAGUGGACAAGGUGACAGGGCUGACAAAGAGCAUGGAUGAGAUCAACACCAAUCUGCUGAAAGAGAACGGCCAGUUUCAGUGCCAACUCCUCGAUGAGCAGGAAGCCCAAUGCAAGACCCUGGACAUCCUCAGGACAUACAAACUCAGGAUUGAGAAUCUGGAGAAGGUGAUUGAGAAAAUGGAAUUUUUUAUUCAGGACCAAAUACUCUUCAGCCCGAGUCAGGUAACCAGACGUCCAUCUAUGCACCUAGUGUCUGGGAAAACACCAUCUGCCACGGACUACAGUGCUUUGCCCAAAGGCUACACCAUGAGUGACCCGUUUCACAUCAUCCAGAAGGCACGCACAGCAAUGAAGUCUGAAGACGUGAGCCCAGCUCUGUCCCUGACGCGCACACACACCUCGGAGAUGGGCUACCUGAACCUCACCCCCCCUCUUAGUCCGCCCGGCAGCCAGUUGCAGGACGACUGGACCGCCACGAGCAGCGCAGACGAGGCACCGCAGAUAGAGAACAAGGAGCGCUGCCUCACAGAGCGUUUCCUCUAACGCAACACCGCACUGCACUGCCUCAUCGAGCGUUUCCUGUAACGCAACAUUGCUCCCCAAUGUGAAAUAUCACCAUUCUCAUGUUUGGACUAAAGAUUGCUACUGAUUUUUCAUGCAGAUUCUAUUUUUAUUAAAGCCUUCUAUUGCAUUCAGUCAUGGAGUUUGAUGCUACUUCCUGUCUGUUUAUCCUUGCUGCGAUUUACAGUACACUCAUGCACUCAAGCACACAAUUUACACUACACUCAUCCACCCAAGCACUCAUGCACUCACGCACACAAGUGUCCUUGUGGGAGGACAUGAUCAAGAAAGUACAGUUGAUCAAGAAAAUAUAGUGGUUACUAAAGUGACAUUACAUGGCAUAAUAACUGAAAAUACAGCCUUGUCAGUGUCAUAUGUAUGUUUAACUUAUGUUCGUAUUAUCAGUGUAUCAUUAGUUAUUUCAUUCAAUUAGUCAGUAAAGCUCUAUUGGUGAGUGCCUGCUUCAACAGCUUCUGUUGGUGAAUGCCUGUUUCAACAACGACCGAAAGGACAGGCAGAAAGCUUACAUAAUAGAUUACGCUAUACCACCCACCACUUACCCUUUGACCCCACAUGUUCACCAAGACUACGUACCGCCAGAGUGGGCUUUCUAUGGGUGGCUCUGCCUCCCUGUACAACUCAGACACCGGCAUACAACUGCUCGGCAUUCACAUCCUGUUCUAGGGGGACUUCAUUCCCGCACACCUCCAUCAAAGAGACACAGCUCUGGACACACACCCUGCUUCAGGAUCCAUCAUUUGAUGAUUUUUUUCCCCCCUACUUUUUCAACCACACACUCUCUCUUUCAACAACAAGCCAGAGGACCAGCCUCCCAGAACAAACAUCCAAACUUAAAAAGUAACAUCUCACACAUCACAAGAUUAAACUCUUGAACUCAUGGGCUAACCCAACAACAACAGUCUCACACACCACACAUCAAACAUUGACCUUGUGACCAGGGGCGGACUGGCCAUCGGGGAUA